rnacentral:rRNA from 1 species
AGAGUUUGAUCCUGGCUCAGAUUGAACGCUGGCGGCAGGCCUAACACAUGCAAGUCGAGCGGAAACGAGUUAUCUGAACCUUCGGGGAACGAUAACGGCGUCGAGCGGCGGACGGGUGAGUAAUGCCUAGGAAAUUGCCCUGAUGUGGGGGAUAACCAUUGGAAACGAUGGCUAAUACCGCAUAAUACCUACGGGUCAAAGAGGGGGACCUUCGGGCCUCUCGCGUCAGGAUAUGCCUAGGUGGGAUUAGCUAGUUGGUGAGGUAAUGGCUCACCAAGGCGACGAUCCCUAGCUGGUCUGAGAGGAUGAUCAGCCACACUGGAACUGAGACACGGUCCAGACUCCUACGGGAGGCAGCAGUGGGGAAUAUUGCACAAUGGGCGCAAGCCUGAUGCAGCCAUGCCGCGUGUGUGAAGAAGGCCUUCGGGUUGUAAAGCACUUUCAGUCGUGAGGAAGGUAGUGUAGUUAAUAGCUGCAUUAUUUGACGUUAGCGACAGAAGAAGCACCGGCUAACUCCGUGCCAGCAGCCGCGGUAAUAC